UAGAGGGUCCAUGUACUCAAUAGAAAUUAGAUAAAUUUCUUCAAAGUUGUAGGAGAUCCUUGAGAUAUAGACAACUAAAUGUACAUAAAGUUUAAACAUUCAGGUUCUGCUGAGAAAAAUGCCCCUCUAGUUGACUGUAAUUUCCUUAGUGGAAAAGAGGUGAAAUUAAAUUUUGCUGAGACACACAGCAGCACUACUGUGAAUUCAAAAACAUAACUUCCAGGAACUUCUAAAUACAUAGUACCAUUCUUUAAUUAAUGCAGUUUAUCCUGUAAUUUUAGGGAUUUAUUGAUACUGGCAGAAACAUUUGCAAAUAACUUAGAAAAUUUCAUGACAUAUUACGCGUCUCAAAGGAUUUCAUUCAGUUUUUCUUUUUCAACUGCAAUCAAUAAUUUCUUUCAAAACUCUUAAUAUGCUGAGAUGGAGUAUAGUUAAAAGAUUGUUGGAAAUUCUCAAAAGAAGGAUUUAAGAAAACAAAUAUGAACAAAGAUGAACUUUGUAGCAUUACAUUUUCUUUCAUUCAUAUAAUUUUUGAACAAGUUCUGCCUCUGUUUUCUAUUACACCUAAAUGUUCUCCUUUUUAUUCAACAUCAAGAGAUAUUAAUGUGGGUGCAUCAAGUCAGAGUUUGGGUUCUUUGAACAUAUCAAACUAUUUUUUCGCAAAUAUUUGGGGUUUGAUAAAACCCAAAAUGCAUGCAAGAAGCACUUUUUCCAUUAAUUAUUAAACCCAUGUGCAUUUUGAGGAAAAUUUGAUCCAUAUGGGUUCUGGUUCAUUUAUCCUUUACUCAUCAAAAUACUUUUUUCUUAAAGUCCAUGUCCAAGAAAUCUUUUGAGCCCUAUUAAGUUUUCUGAGCUUUGCCAAGAACAAACGGAGUUGAACACCAAAAGAUUCAAGUUGGUUUGUAACCCUAUACCUAUGGAGCACUAAUGGGUUCUAAACUUGGAUUAAACACAUGUUCUCAUCCCUAAUGGUUGGAUGUACCUCCAGAGGGAUGCUUGAGGCCUCAUACAGAAAGCAAAAGUCAGAUGAAUGUCAACAAAGACACAAGAAAAUCCCAAAUGCAUCACAAUUCAUUAAAAGAUUACAUUGACUAUAUAUGUUUGAGUACAUAUAUGCAGAGAUGUUCCACAGAAUUUGAACUGGAAGUUUAAGAGACAUCCCAAAUAGGUUAUAAAAAAUGUAUUAUUAUCUAAAAUGUGAAAUGCUAGUAUUUGGACAACAAUUCCUAAACAUUGGGACUUGGUUAAGGUUAAACAUAAUUAUGGGAAACAUACAAUAUUCCAUCUACAUGACAUGACCUUUGGGAUCCACUUCAAAAUGCAAUGAGAGUUAGGGAUAUGGGGGGAGGUAUAGAUAAAGCAAGAUAAUUGUUAAUGCUGAAUGCUGGACAUAUUCGUGUUUACUGUACCUUUUUGUUUCCCUUAGUUGAUGCAUUGGACGUCUCCCAUGCCUGUCACACGUUUUGGGUCUGCCCUAGCCAUUGUGGUAGCAACUGCUGGAGCAGUACCUGGUGUGACCAGUACCUCGCGUCGGCUGUACCAGGUAUCUCUCCUGCAAGAACCUCUGAUGUCAUCGUGAUGCACAAACCACCUUGACAGUGUGAGGAAGUCAAUACUCUCUGGGACCUCCUUUAUUAAUGCUGGACAAUUCUGAGGUACAUCUUCCAUGAUGAUUCAGAGAGCUCCUAGUGGAGCCCCCAGUGGAAUGGAUUUGACAACAUACCCUUAGUUUAUAGUCCAAUGAUGAUGGAGGACAAGAAACAAGUAAACAACAAGCAAACAGAUACUUUUGGCAGAGUUAGAUCCACGCC